ACUCAGUGAGUAUCAUCCGUACUGUGGCCGUUUACUUAAUCGGUCUUCAGGGAGACUUCCAAACGGGAGUUCUGUGACCCAGGUGAGGUCAGGGUUCCUGGAAUGGACAGCGUGUCAGAGCCAGCAGGGGGCAGGCCAGCCGCCCAUCUGAUCGUGGCCGCAGUGCACAGACUUUGAACCGGUUCCUGUCGCCUGUGUCUGUCAGGCUCACAGUGAACCCUGGUCAUCGUUCAGUUCCUGAACUGCAACAACACACCCACAAAUGCACACAGCCAUGGUUCCCCACCCCACCCCGGGCUCGGGUGACCCCAUGUUAGUGUCUUCCAGCACAUUCUCCCUCUGGCCCAAACAGAACCAGGUCAAAAGGGCCUCUCCUCCGGUCUUCAUCACGACCCUGCUGCUCAGAAGCCUUGCAGUGGUAUUUCCUCUGCCCUAGUAGGGACUUUUAAGGGGUUUUUAUUUGCUUUCAUUUUUGCCAUGCUUCUGAGAAUGGCUCCUUUGUGAUUAGCGCCUCCAAGGCCGUCUCUUCAGAAGAUCACACAGCCACAGCCACAGCCCCAGGGAGAAGCAGGAGUCCUGGCCCUCUCCUGGGUCUCACUGGCUGGACGGAAAGAUGGACUCCAGGAGAAUGCUGCUUCUGGUUGUGGACCGAGGGACAGCCACAUUCCUGCCGAUGGACGGACCCAGCUCUGAGCCCGGGACCACCGAUGAAGUGGAGAAACACAAAAAAGGAAUUUGUUAAAUUUUUUUGUUAAACAACAGGUUCUUUGAAUUCCUAAUUGGAAACUUUCACACAUGAACUGGGGUUGCUGCAACUCAUUUCCUGAAGUCCUGCUGGCCCGGUUUUAUUUUGAAUAAAAUGGUUGUU